UACUUUGCGCAGAGGCGGUUCCAUAGCCAAUGAGGGUUAUCCGAGGCGUGGUUAUUGCUAGUUGAAUACUAUGUACUACUACUGUGCCACUAUGUACUACUAUGUAGUGUAUUAAAUCAUAUGUAGUAAACGCAAUGAAUCCUACACUAGAAUACUAUCAGAUAACUCCAAAUUUGUUU
rnacentral:snRNA from 1 species